CACUGACUAACUAGUCCAACCAUUAUAAGACAACAAAUCAACAAUAACCCCAAAGACCCUAAAACCUUAAACCAAAACAUUCUACUACCUCAGUAGGGGCGACCGAAAAGGAACCUAUGGAACAAUAAAAUAAGUACCGCAAGGGAACGUUGAAAUAGAGAUGAAAUAGCCCAGUAAAGAACAACGAAGCAGAGCUUUAACCUCGUACCUUUUGCAUCAUGAUUUAGUAAGUAAAACUAGGCAAGAAGAUUCUUAGUCUGACCCCCCGAAACUAAUGUGAGCUACUCCAAGCCAGCAUAUUUAUAUAGUGCCAACCCGUCUCUGUUGCAAAAGAGUGGGAAGAGCUUUGAGUAGCGGUGACAAGCCUACCGAACUUAGUUAUAGCUGGUUUUCUGAGAACUGAAUAUAAGUUCAGCCUCUAUGAUUCUUCCCACAAACAAUCCCUACUGGAUAAACCUUGGCCUAAAAGAAACUUAGAGAGUUAGUCAAAGGAGGGACAGCCCCUUUGAACAAGUAACAACUUUAAUUAGUUGGGUAAAGAUCAUAACCCCUAAGGUAAAAUUAUUUAUGUGGGCCUAAAAGCAGCCACCCCUUCAGAAAGCGUUAAAGCUCAAAUAAUACUACCUCUGAAAAUAACGAAAAACCACUCUUACCCCACUAAACCCUAUCAGAACAUCUUAUACCCCUAUAAGAGAAAUUAUGCUAAAAUUAGUAAUAAGAGACCAGACCCUCUCCCUACACAAGUGUAACUCGAAACGGACUCACCCCCGAGAAAUAACGACCCCAAUAAAAGAGGGCUCAGGAAACAAAACCAAAAACUAGAAAAGUCUCCUACUCUAAUCGUUAAUCCUACACUGGAGUGUAAUCAAGGAAAGAUUAAAAGAAAAAGAAGGAACUCGGCAAACAUAAACCUCGCCUGUUUACCAAAAACAUCGCCUCUUGAAACACAAAAAUAAGAGGUCGUGCCUGCCCAGUGAUAUUAAUUCAACGGCCGCGGUAUUUUGACCGUGCAAAGGUAGCGUAAUCACUUGUCCCUUAAAUGGGGACCCGUAUGAAUGGUUUAACGAGGGUUUAACUGUCUCCUUUUUCUAAUCAAUGAAAUUGAUCUCUCCGUGCAAAAGCGGAGAUAAGUAUAUAAGACGAGAAGACCCUGUGGAGCUUAAGAUUACUUUACAGACUGAGCCUAAUAACCCCCUACACCCGAUUUAAAGCCAAAAGUCUACUAUAAAAAUCUUUAGUUGGGGCGACUACGGAGAAUAUAAAACCUCCGCGAAGACUGAGAAUACAAUUUCUUAAAACCCAGAAAAACCUUUCAAAGCAACAGAAAUUCUGACUUUCAUUGAUCCAUUCACUUGAUCAACGAAUCAAGUUACCCCAGGGAUAACAGCGCAAUCCCCUUCCAGAGUCCCUAUCGACAAGGGGGUUUACGACCUCGAUGUUGGAUCAGGACAUCCUAAUGGUGCAGCCGCUAUUAAGGGUUCGUUUGUUCAACGACUAAAGUCCUACGUGAUCUGAGUUCAGACCGGAGCAAUCCAGGUCAGUUUCUAUCUAUAGAAUGUUCUUCUCUAGUACGAAAGGACCGAAAAGAAGAGGCCAAUUCUUCACGUAAGCCUCACUUUAACUUAAUGAAAACAACUCAAAUAAACAAAAAAGCAUAUCCUAAAGCCCUAGAAAAUAGCA
rnacentral:rRNA from 1 species